GCAUAUCAAUAAGCGGAGGAAAAGAAACCAACAGGGAUUGCCUUAGUAGCGGCGAGUGAAGCGGCAAUAGCUCAAAUUUGAAAUCUGGCACCUUCGGUGUCCGAGUUGUAAUUUGAAGAAGGUAUCUUUGGUUUUGGCUCUUGUCUAUGUUCCUUGGAACAGGACGUCACAGAGGGUGAGAAUCCCGUGCGAUGAGAUGCCCAAUUCCAUGUAAAGUUCCUUCAACGAGUCGAGUUGUUUGGGAAUGCAGCUCUAAGUGGGUGGUAAAUUCCAUCUAAAGCUAAAUAUUGGCGAGAGACCGAUAGCGAACAAGUACUGUGAAGGAAAGAUGAAAAGAACUUUGAAAAGAGAGUGAAAAAGUACGUGAAAUUGUUGAAAGGGAAGGGCUUGAGAUCAGACUUGGAAUUUUCCAUUACAUGGAGCUUUCCGGGCCAGCAUCAGUUUGGAUGGCAGGAUAAUUGCGAUGGAAAGUAGCUCUGCUUCGGUGGAGUAUUAUAGCCUUCGUCGAUACUGCCUGUCUAGACUGAGGACUGCGUCUUUGACUAGGAUGCUGGCAUAAUGAUCUUAAGCCGCCCGUCUUGAAACACGGACCAAGGAGUCUAACGUCUAUGCGAGUGUUUGGGUGUAAAACCCGUACGCGUAAUGAAAGUGAACGUAGGUGAGAGCCCUUUGGGUGCAUCAUCGACCGAUCCUGAUGUCUUCGGAUGGAUUUGAGUAAGAGCAUAGCUGUUGGGACCCGAAAGAUGGUGAACUAUGCCUGAAUAGGGUGAAGCCAGAGGAAACUCUGGUGGAGGCUCGUAGCGGUUCUGACGUGCAAAUCGAUCGUCGAAUUUGGGUAUAGGGGCGAAAGACUAAUCGAACCAUCUAGUAGCUGGUUCUGCGAGU
rnacentral:rRNA from 1 species